UACAGGCAUGCAGUGGCCACCAUUGCAGAAUUCUAUUGCCCAAGGGUCAUCUGGUCCAUGGAACAACAGUUUGCUCAAUCUUCAAGCUUCCGAUGACACAAGUAGUGCUCAGAAAUGGAAUGCUUUUGGCAAUGUUAUUACUCCCCUUCCUCUAGAGGGCACUAAUCAAGGUUGUCAACCACAUAUAGCAGCGCAAAUGCCUUCAUCAGCUGCUGACCAGUAUCUGGGACUGAAGGCUUUUGAGGACCCUAGUAAUGAUGGGAUUCAAAGAGCUGCUCCAUAUGAAGGACUCUCCGGUUUGAAUGGACUAUUGGACAUUGUCCUGGAGCCUUCAUAUACUCCUCCACAGAAUCCCUUGAUGGAAGCACCUCAAUCACACACAAUCAGUCAUAAAUCAACUAACCCAUUUGA
rnacentral:misc_RNA from 1 species